AUAGCUCAUUAAUACGCUCAGAAUCUAUUUGGCGGCGACCAACAGGUCUUAUAUGGAUAGCAGCAGCAACUCUGGUGCUAAUACAUGCGAUUGUUUCUCCAGAUGUGAAUUAUGGAGGAAAAGUUGACCUCAUCAGAGGCACGCCAUUCGACUGAGUGACCUAUCAGCUUGUACUUAGGGUCUUUACCUAGGUAGGCUAUCACGGGUAACGGGCGGUUACCGUCGGACUGCCGGAGAAGGCGCCUGAGAGAUAGCGACUAUAUCCACGGGUAGCAGCAGGCGCGAAACUUUCCCACUCGAGACUUUCGGAGGAGGUAAUGACCAGUUCCAUUGGUGCCUUUUGGUACUGUGGAUAGGGGUACGGUUUUCCACCGUACCGAAACCUAGCAGAGGGCCAGUCUGGUGCCAGCAGCUGCGGUAAUUCCAGCUCUGCGAGUUUGCUCCCAUAUUGUUGCAGUUAAAACGCCCGUAGUCUGAAUUGGCCAGCAAUGGUCGUACGUAUUUUUACGUUCACUGUGAACAAAUCAGGACGCUUAGAGUAUGGCCACAUGAAUGACUCAGCGCAGUAUGAAGUCUUUGUUUUCUUCCGAAAACAAGCUCAAUGAGAGCCAUCGGGGGUAGAUCUAUCUCAUGACGAGUGGUGGAAUACUUUGACUCAUGAGAGAGAAGCUGAGGCGAAGGCGUCUACCUAGAGGGUUUCUGUCGAUCAAGGGCGAGAGUAGGAGUAUCCAACAGGAUUAGAGACCCUGGUAGUUCCUACCUUAAACGAUGCCGACAGGAGUUUGUCAUUUGUUA
rnacentral:ncRNA from 2 species